UAUUAUAUUCUUUGUUUUAUUUUAUUUUUGCAUCAUCAUGUCAUCAUGCCAUUAAAACGCAAAUAAAUAAAUUGUUUAGAGCUUUGAUCUAUUUAAAAUAAGGGAAUACACCUGAUGGUUCUCUUUAUAACCCAUGAACAUAUCCUCCCAAUAUUAUUAGGGAGCUAGAAUAAAACAUCCCAUUAAUUUAGGAAUCACUCAUAAACACACUUGCAGUUGAAUUUCCUUUUGAUUCCAAAUAUUUUAAAUCCAUGUGAUAUUCUCCAAAUAGUACUUUCAAGUUGUGGUGCUUUGAUUUGCCAAAUUCCAGCUUGAUUUGAAUUUAUUUGACCCUUCAAGCUUCACCCGCCCCCUUCGAGCUUGUGCCAGAUUCUCUUCUAGAUUCCGCUAGAUGAGUGGCAAACUCAACGUGCGUGCCAGCAGUAGAAUCACCUGAAAUCAUUGUACUGUGAAGAAUUAGAUGCGUGGGGAAUUGGGCACAGCCACAAGUGCCGCAUAACUUAAUUUGAAGAAAAUUAUUUUAGCUGAAGACUUUGAAAUAUGUUCCUUAAGAUGAACUCACUGGGGAAUUAACUGUACAAUACAAUUGUUGCGCAAAUGCUUGUUUAAAAAAAUUGUUGUGCAAAUGAGGUAUCAGAGAGUCAAGUGUGCUCAGUGAAUAAUUUCGAAAGAAAGGAAUAGAUCAAAAAUGGGCAAGUGCUUUAGAUCUCGCCUAAAAACAACAAUUUGUCUAGGAUUGACUUAAGAAAAGAUCAAACGCGCGGUAAGAAAACAAAAGAAAUUGACACCAGAAACGGUUAAUGAUUAUAGACCGAUAUCUUUGUUAAACUGUGUGCUCAAGGUCAUUACGAAGAUUCUAGCAGAAAGGCUUCAAAGAUGGAUACUUAAAGUGGUACAUGGCAAUCAAUAUGGCUUUAUUAAAUCUCGGACAAUACAAGAUUGUCUAGGCUGGGCUUUCGAAUACUUGCAUCAAUGCAAGCACUCUGGCAAGGAAAUAGUCAUUUUAAAACUUGACUUUGAAAAGGCUUUCGACACUAUGGAACACUCGUUCAUUUUAAACAUGCUCAAGUGCAAGGGGUUUGAUGACAGAUGGUGCAUGUGGAUUAAAAUGCUGCUUGACUUGGGAUCUUCUUCAAUACUUCUCAAUGGAAUACCUGGCACGGAAUUUAAAUGCAAGUGGGGGGGGGGGGUGACACGAGGGGACCCGAUAUCACCAUUACUCCAUUACUAUUCAUGUUGGCAGUAGAUCUUCUACAGUCUUUAAUUAACAAGGCUUAGUCCGAAGGGCUCAUUACACUCCCAAUCAACCAACCGGCAUCGGAAAACUUCCCAGUUAUCCAAUAUGCCGAUGAUACGUUAAUUGUCCUUCCAGCCAAUCGUGAUGAGCUCAAAACAAUUAAGGCGAUACUGGACUCCUACGCCCGAGCUACUGGUCUGAAAUUUAAUUACAGCAAAUGUCAAUUAAUGCCAAUUAAUGUGGCAGCUCAAAAAGCUACGGAUCUGGCCAGCGUGUUAGGCUGCCAAGUUGGAAAAAUGCCGUUCACGUAUCUAGGGCUAUCACUCGGGACUACCAGACCCACAGUGAAAGAUUUGAUGCCGCUAGUGGAUAGAAUCGAAUGAAGGUUGACGGGAACUGCUAUCUGGCUAUCAUAUGGGGAACGAGUGCAGUUAAUCAAUUCUGCUCUCUACUCGCUACUCUCCUUUGCCAUGUGCGUACUAAAACUCCCUCUGAAGUUAAUAGAGAUCUUUGACAGAGCGAGAAGACACUGCUUAUGGAGGAAAGAAAUUGAUAGAGAUGCUAAAACUCAUUCUCUUGCUGCGUGGAAUAUGGUCUGCCGCCCUAAGAAAAGAGGAGGGCUUGGUGUCCUAAAUUUACAAAUUCAAAAUAAGGCCCUAUUGCUCAAAUACGUACAUAAGUUCAUGCACAAACAAGAUACACCAUGGGUGAUGAUAGUCUAGGAUGCCUAUUAUGAUGAAACUCCUCCCCUUUCAAAACCUAGUUGUGGUUCAUUCUGGUGGCGAGAUGUGUUCUCAUUGAUGGAUAUCUAUCGUGGGAUUACUUCUUGUAUUCCAGCAGCGGGUGAUACUAUACUUUCGUGGAAAGAUGUUUGGCUGGAAGACCGACCGCUGAUGAACACGCACGAGCAUUUGUUCUCCUACACAAACAAUGAGGAUAUUUAAUUGGCCCAAUUCUACAACAACAGCACACCUACGGAGAACUUUGUGUUGCCAUUAUCAAUGGAAGCCCAGACCGAACUAGAUGAUUUGCAGGCUAUGAUGGCAGGAAUCAACUUGGAACCUAUGGCCACUGAUGAAUGGAUCUUGUGUUGGGGGGACACAAAAUACAAACCAAAAAAGCUAUAUAACUUCAUGUUCAAAAAUGUGUUAGCACCACAGUUCCUCACCUUGAUUUGGAAGACAAAAUGCAUCAUGGGACAUAAGGUUUUUGCCUGGCUGAUGCUACUCGACAGAGUCAAUACCAGAGAUAUGCUUUUGAGAAGACACUUUAACAUUGGUGAUGAUCAUGAUUGCCCUCUUUGCAACAUGGGGGUCCUAGAAACUAAUGAACAUCUUUUCUACGAUUGUCCCUUUGCCAUUAGAUGUUGGGAGAUAAUUAGUAUUAACUGGAACAAUCAGCUGGAAAUGCAACAAAAUAUGAUCAAGCUAGGGCAAGCUGGCAAAGGCCAAUUCAAAGAAGCGACCAUCUUGGCAUCCUGGAAUAUCUGGAAGCAGAGAAAUAAAGUGGUGUUUGAUGGUGAGACGGCCACCCAUUUUGACUGGCUUAGGAAGCUCGAGGAAGACUUUGUGAUUUUGGGCUAUAGAAUCAACUCUCAAAACCUGACCUUUUUUGAAGGAUUCAGGAACUCUCUUACAACAUAAACACACUCCUCCCUCUAGUAGGCUUUGUAGUUACUCUGAGAGGGACUUCCCAAAGGGGCUUGUCUCAUUUCCUGUAAUAUCCAUGUAAAACCCCAUGUUGAUUUGUUACCGCAAGAUGAACUAAUGAAAUGCUACUAAGACGAGGAGCACACUGAUCGUUCGUCUUGGCGAGAACCACCGGCUACGAUGACAGCGGUGGAAGAUGAUCCGUCCGUCUAAAAGGAAUGUGAGGACUUAGAACUAGCGGUCGUGAAUCAUGUCCUUCUCCAUCGAACACGAGGCAAAGGUGAUUCAACACUGGAUAGGGUUCCUGCCCGAGAGAUAGAGCUCAAGGCAAGAGAGGAAGGAACUAAGUGAGCAUGAUGACGUCUAUCUAUAGACCAAGUGGGUUCUCAUGACGGCACCAUUCCAAAUACCACAGACAAUAUGUGCUGACAGUUGAGAUCAUGGAUACAUGUCAACAGGUUAGAUGAUAUGCCGCCUCAGUUUUCGGAGGUGCUCAUAGGGCUAGGGUGUGCGUGUGUGCGUUCAUAGGGAUAAGUGUAUGCGCGUAUAUAUGAGCGCCUGUGUCUGUACUGAUGCUCAAAAAAAAAGAAAACAGGUUAGAUGGCAAGUGUCUCAUCAGAGCGGAAUACACUGUAAAUAUGCGAGGCACUAAAUAAAGGACGCCAAUAUAUGACGUUCGUUCCCCAAGGGAGGUGGUCCUGGCGAACCAUUAGUUCGCGCUGGAUGCAAUAACCCAGCGAACAAAUUCGUUCGCUCCCAGGAACCCACCCUAACGAACGAUCCUGGAAUACAGCAGCGCCAACACAUGGUCGGUACAGACUUUAUCAUCAUAUGGACCUGGGAGCCAAAAUGAAUAUCCGCCAAUGCACAGGCUAUGCUAGUUCUGACACGUACAGCCACAUGUUCAGUGCCUAGCUAUGUCAGUUCUUUGUUCUGACAAGUGAAAAGAGAAAAUGUGGAAUAUGUACAUAGUUUACAUCUUGCAUUACCUGUGUCUAGCAAUCCCGAUGCAACUGGGUGGCACAGAUUAAGAUAGCAUGCGAGCCCGGGCCGCGUUUUGCAUUUCCGAUAUUCAAGGCCUUUACAUAUUCGGCACGCCAGAAGAGCACUUGUACGGAAGUCGCAUUGGACUCCUUGCUAGAGCAUGGAAAACCUUGUUGAUGGAUCUUCGAAACUUGAGCACCUUCUCUGAUCCUUGAACCAGUAUUGGCUAGAAAGGCGAGGGCAUUUGCAACGUAACGGGCAACCCCAACGCUGGAGCUUCACCCUUUAGUGCGGAGCCAAUAUGGAAGGUGGUAG
rnacentral:lncRNA from 1 species